UCGCUUCUCUCAUAUCAGGGCAUUACGUCGAUAAACAGCUAAGAGCGAUAUUGACCCUAUAAGUACCGAAAUUUAAAAACUAUAGGAGAGUAAACCCAUAUGGGCGUUCCGGCUGUAGAAGGGUUCAUCUUCUUCAUUCAUCGUCUUACCGAAAAACGCUUUUUCACCUCAUCUAACAAAAGUCGGGGCUCUGAUAUUUGUUUAUAUAAAAUUGGAGCCAAAAUUGCAGAAGGACAGAAUUGAAAGAUUAACACAAAAGGAAGAAAUUGAUAGAGCUGUAUACAACAAUAUUACUUCAACUUCGUAAUAUUAUUUGAAUGUUGGUAUUGCAAAUUGUAUAGAUAUAUAAAUGUGAUACUCUGGUUAUCUAAUUAUUUUCUUGAAGCCUGACUCGUAAAUGCACAGCUUGCGACGAUGACAGCAAUAAGACGAAGUAGAAGAGUUGGCAAUAGUUUUUACGACAUGACUAUGACCGAUAUACAAAACAAUAUACUGAAAAAUUUAUUUCACGUAAUAUUAAGAUGAAAGGCCAAAAGAAUGAAAAAAAUGUUGAGACAAAUGCAUAUGGAGAAAUUGAUUUUGGUAGAGGAAAGACAAUUAUUGCAAAGUAUGUCCGGGCAGCGCAUGAUACAGAUGAACAAGAUCUUUAUGACCUGUUAAACAAGCAUUGGAAGUUGAAUCCACCAAAUCUUAUAAUAUCAGUAACCGGUGGAGCAAAAAACUUUGCUUUGCGAACUCGCCUGAAGGAAGUGUUUCGGAAAAGUUUAAUAAAAGCGGCUGAAAACACAGGGGCAUGGAUAACUUCAGGUGGGACGCAUGUUGGAGUAAUGAAGCAUGUUGGAAAAGCUGUAAAAAGCUAUGCAACCAUUCAACAAGACAAAAAAAGGAUUCAGCCUCCAAAGGUAUAUGAUCCAGAUAUGGCCAAAUUGAACCAAAAUGAAAACAAACAAUUCACUACUCUUGAUUAUAAUCAUUCACAUUUCAUAUUGGUGGAUGAUGGCAGCACAGGAGAAAGUUCCUAUGGAACAGAAAUUAAAUUGAGGGCCAAACUGGAAAAAAAAAUUAAAAAAGAAAAUCCAAAUGUUCGGAUUGUUUGUGUUGUGGUUCAAGGUGGUCCAGGAACUUUAAAGACUGUUAAUAGCACUAUUAAAAAAGACAUUCCGGUAGUGCUUGUGAGUGGUUCAAGAGGAUGUGCUGAUGUACUAGCAUCUGCUUUGAAAAAGGGUUCAGAUAACUUGGAAGAAGGCUAUAUCGAACAAAUAUUUGAAGAAUUCAAUUAUGACAGAACUGAUUCAUGUAUUGAGCUACUCAAAGACUGCAUUAGUAAAAGGGAAUUGAUUACCGUGUUUGAGUUGGAUCCAAACGAUACAUCAAAGGACUUAGACUUUGCUAUACUAGAUGCUGUUUUACGAAAAAAAGAGAAUGACGUCAACAAAAAUUUAGACCUGGCUGUUGCUUGGAAUAGGAGUGAUUAUGCUAAAUCUCAUAUACUUUAUGAUGGUUUUAUAAAGAAAGGGAUAAUUACUGAAAUCUUCAUGGGAUCUGUCUUACUAAAUGAUAAGCAUGAAUUUUGCAAAGUUCUCCUUGAUUAUGGCGUUAAUUUGAAACAUGUUGAAAUUAAAAAGAUUGUUGACUUGUACAAAAAGGAUCUGGAAGAAUCUGGAGCUUCGGGACCACAGUCCAGAAAUUAUAUGUCGGUUAUGUCGGAUGUGGGAAAAAGAAUGGCUGGUUUAUUUGGUACCUCUUAUGCUUCUAUGUACCAGGAGGGAAAUGCAGAAUCUGCGGAAAAGUAUUUCGAUCCCUACAUGGAAAUAUUCCGGUGGGCUUUGUUGUUCAAUCACAGAGAAAUUGCUAAAUAUAUCUGGGAAUACAUGCAUGAAUCAAUGGCUGCUGCUGUUAUGGCAACCAAAAUAUUGAAAGCACUAGCUUCUACAGAGUCAAACCAUGAAGUGAAAAAUCAAAUGUUAGCUGAUGCUGACGAAUAUGAAAGACAUGCUGUAAUAAUUUUAGGAAAAUUAUUUGCUGACAAUAAAAGCAAAGCAAUUGAUUUACUCAAGACAAGCUUACCUAGAUGGGGCAGAUUGAACUGCUUACAUGUUGCCUUUGAGGCGAAAGAUAAGGCAUUUAUUUCACAUCCUGCAGUUCAGUUUUACCUUGAUCAAAUCUGGUCUAAAGGAUUAAUGAAAGAAAAUAGAAGAAACAGCGAUGCAUGUUCAACUGAGUCUGGCAAUUCACAGUCUGGUGGCAGUUCAGAUAAUUUAUGCAAACAGAUAGUUGAAUUUCGAAUUACUCCUGCAAUGACAUUUUGGUCAAAUAUUGCGUUUUAUUUGCUAUAUCUCACAUUAUUUUCCGCUGUAAUAUUGAGCAGUUAUGAUGUAACACCAUCUACACUGGAAAUAGUCGUGGUUGUGUGGGCAACAAUAAUGAUGUUUGAUGAGAUACGCGAAGUCAUAGGAAUUGGAGCGGGUAACUUUACAGGCAAAGAUCAGCAUUACUUUAAGAAUCAAUGGAAUUAUGCAGACAUACUGAGUUUUCUACUGUUUUACAUAGGAUUCAUUACAAGAUGGUUUGGAUGCAGUGAUUGUUUGUAUGUAGCACUUACUUUGUAUUGUAUCUCAUUUAUGAUACAAUGUGUACGGAUCAUCCACAUUUUUGCUGUCAACAGUACGCUUGGACCAAAAAUAAUCAUGGUUAAAAAAAUGAUAAAAGAUCUGCUGACUUUCCUGUUUAUACUUACUGUGUUUUUGUUGGCAUACGGAGUUGCCAGUCAAGCUCUUCUUUAUCCAAACGAAACAGAUGUUGCUCAGAUAAUUGUCGGAAUAAUUUACAAACCUUAUUGGCAAAUAUAUGGUGAACUGUUCUUGGAUGAAAUUAACUACAAUCCGAAUCUUGGAUCUCUAACUUGCAAUAAUACAGACAACGACCUCCCACGAUGUCCUCAUGAGUCUGUAGUCGUUCCAAUAUUAUCAGCAGUGUACCUGUUUUUUGCAAAUAUUCUUCUUCUCAAUUUGCUCAUCGCUAUGUUUAGUUACACAUUUGAUAAAGUUCAAAGUCAAGGAAAAGAAGUGUGGAUGUUUCAACGAUACAGUCUGAUUGUUGAUUAUUGUAAUCGGCCUCCAUUGCCGCCACCACUUGUCAUUUUUUGUUUUAUAUAUUAUGCAUGUCAAUAUUUGAAAUGGUAUUGUAAAAAAAAGAACAAGAAGAUGGAGCAAACGAAAAAUAUGGUGAACAACUACGUGAGUGGGAACAUUGGUUGGCUGAAAAAUACAUCCGAGAAACACGUAAAACAGCUGAUUCAACAAUAGAUAAAAAGAUUGAAAAAUUAAGUGAUAGGAUAACUCAUGAGCUUGACAUCAUUAAGUUCAAACUUCAAGAUAUGAUGCAAAACCAAAAAGAAUCGGUACGAAUAUAAAUGGAUUUACCUAAACUUCUGACUGAAUAUAUCUAACUAAAAUCAUUAGUCUUUCUCAUAUGAGUAGUACAUUACUAUCCAAAUUAAGAAGCCGAAUGAACAAAUUAGAUGUGUGACAGUAAUAUUUGACUAUCGCCACCUCACAGCAUGUUUUUGGAAAAAUAGCAAGCCUCCCUUAAUUAGUUAAUUAGUGUUGAGAGCAUGUAUUUGUACAAGUAAUGCAUUAUACCACUCCUAUGCCUCUGUUUGUCUUCCUAUUAAUAAUGUUUAAUUUUUAUUCACAUUGGUGAAGUAUAUAUAUAAAAUUAAUUUUAAAUGUAUAUAUAAAGUGAAAUGAUUGAUUUACAUUAGAUUGAUUAGGUUAGAUUGAUUCUGGGCUAAAUAAUGUAAUGUAAAAAUAAUGCAAAUCACAAUUGUCAUAAUCUAUUAUUUCUAUAUUUCUUCUAGAAACCAUUUGACGCGUGAUGCUACCAGUUGAA